AGCUUGUACAGGUGCUGCAUGGCUGUCGUCAGCUCGUGUCGUGAGAUGUUCGGUUAAGUCCGCUAACGAGCGCAACCCUCGCUGUGUGUUACAAGUGUCACACGGGAACUGCCGGUCAUAAACCGGAGGAAGGUGGGAUGACGUCAAGUCAGCAUGGCCUUUAUAUCCCUGGGCUACACACACGCUACAAUGGGAAGGGACAAUAGGUUGCGAAGCCGCGAGGCGGAGCCAAUCCAGCAAAACUUCCCUCAGUUCAGAUUGCAGGCUGCAACCCGCCUGCAUGAAGUUGGAGUUGCUAGUAAACGCAGGUCAGCCAUACUGCGUUGAAUACGUUCCCGGGGCUU
rnacentral:rRNA from 1 species